AUUGAAUGCUGGCGGCAGGCCUAACACAUGCAAGUCGAACGAGUGGCGGACGGGUGAGUAAUGUCUGGGAAACUGCCCGAUGGAGGGGGAUAACUACUGGAAACGGUAGCUAAUACCGCAUACCAUCGGAUGUGCCCAGAUGGGAUUAGCUAGUAGGUGGGGUAACGGCUCACCUAGGCGACGAUCCCUAGCUGGUCUGAGCGGAUGACCUGCAAAACUGGAAAGAGGACAGGGGCCAGACUCCUACGGGAGGCAGCAGUGGGAAAUAUUGCACAAUGGGCGCAAGCCUGAUGCAGCCAUGCCGCGUGUAUGAAGAAGGCAUUCGGGGUGUAAAGUACUUGCAGCGAGGAGGCGUUACUCGCAGAAAAAGCACCGGCUAACUCCGUGACAGCAGCCGCGUAAUAC
rnacentral:rRNA from 1 species